GGUAUAAUUGUUUUAUAAUAUAGUCUAAUAUAGCCAUUAACUGAAGCAGUAAUUAAUUAUUCACUGUUACAAUGUGUUGACAAUUUUUUCGGCCAAAAACCGCUUGAAAAUUUGAAAUACUUUUGUUUUACAACUCGAAGACGAAGUGAAAGAAAUGGUUUUAGAAUCUCUAUAUCUCACAGGAAAGCUCAGAUAUAUUAUACAGAUGUUUGGCACUAUAGUAAGUGCUUGUUGACUGCAAAUUCAUUUGUCG